ACCCGGGUGGCUCAGUGGGUUCAGCGUCUGACUUCAGCUCAGGUCAUGAGCUCGCGGUUUGUGGGUUUGAGCCCCACAUCGGGCU
rnacentral:tRNA from 1 species